ACUAAAUUUGAUUAUUCUCUUGAGCUGUCAACAUAACAGUUGCUGACAGGACUGGCUCUAGAUAUUGUCUCCACUGCAGUAGAUACUUGGGCCUGUCUGUCCAGCCUGGGGGCCAGCAUUUCCCUGGGAACUCCCAUUUCUUCCAUAAACGAUGGGUCAUGACAUUCAUAGGACAACGAUGCCAUUCUAUGCCCUUGAUCAUCGCUGGACAACCCUGGGGUCAGCAUGACUUUAGCUUAGCCAGAUUCUUUCUUCCAGAAGUCUGGAAGUGAGAAAGUCAGCCCAUUGUUUGAAUGACUAUACCAGUAACUGGUCAAUGUGGAAGCUGUGGAGAGGCCACCUUUGCUGUGCUCUGAGUGAAGAAGCAGGAAAGCUGGUCCACAGAGAAGGAAGGAAUGAAUGCACAGAGAAGCAGGGGAGAAAACAGUGCAUCUGGGACUGGCAAGUCCAACAUCUGUAGGGUGGCCUGGCUGGCCGGAGACCCAGGGAAGAGCUGAUGCUGCUGUGCACGUCCAGAGGCUUCUGCUGGGUAAGUUCUCUCUUCUUUGUGGGGGGUCAGUCUUCUGUUCAACUGAUUGGGCGACACCUACCCACAUUAUAAAGGGUAAUCUGUUUACUCCAAGUCCACCAAUUUAAAUGUUAAUAUUGUCCAUAAACACCCGCACAUAAACAUCCAAGAUAAUGUUUGAUCACAUGUCUGGGCACCAUAGUCUAACCAAGUUGACGCAGAAAAUUAACCAUCACACAAGAUGAAAAGAGUUCUGGAGAUGGAUGGUGGCGACGGUCACAUGAUGUGAAUGUACUUUAUGCCACUAAACUGCAAACUUAAAAAUGGUAAAGCGGUUACAUUUUAAGUUAUGUGUAUUUUGCCACAAUAUACAAUUGUAUCUAGCCCAAAGUAGGUGUUUGAUAUAUUUUAGUUGAUUAUUAUUUGAAACAGAGUCUCACUCUGUCGCCCAGGCUGGAAUGCAGUGGCAAAAUCUUGGCUCACUGCAACCUUUGCCUCCCAGGUUCAAGCGAUUCUCAUAUCUCAGCCACUCGAGUAGCUGGGAUUACAGGCAUGUGCCACCACGCUUGGCUAAUUUUUUUUGUACUUUUAGUAGAGACAAGGUUUCGCCAUGUUGGUCUCCAACUCCUGACCUCAAGUGAUCUGCCUGUCUCAGCCUCCCAAAGUGCUGGGAUUGCAGGCAUGAGCCACCGCGCCUGGUCUGGUUUAUUAGCAUUAUUAUUCCCAGCAUCUGACAAUGCCUGCUGGUACUCAGUGCAUGCUUGUUGAAUAAGUGACCGAAUGAACGACCUUGUUUAAAUGACUUAAUUGCUCUGUGUCUCAGUUUCCUCAUCUAAAAAAUUUGAGGAUAAUAAUGAUUACCAUGAA
rnacentral:lncRNA from 1 species